GACGAACGCUGGCGGCGUGCUUAACACAUGCAAGUCGAACGGAAAGGCCCUGCUUUUGUGGGGUGCUCGAGUGGCGAACGGGUGAGUAACACGUGAGUAACCUGCCCUUGACUUUGGGAUAACUUCAGGAAACUGGGGCUAAUACCGGAUAGGAGCUCCUGCUGCAUGGUGGGGGUUGGAAAGUUUCGGCGGUUGGGGAUGGACUCGCGGCUUAUCAGCUUGUUGGUGGGGUAGUGGCUUACCAAGGCUUUGACGGGUAGCCGGCCUGAGAGGGUGACCGGCCACAUGGGAACGAGGAUACGGCCCAGCCUCCUACGGGGGGCGGCAGGGGGGAAUAUUGCACAAGGGGCGGAAGCCUGAUGCAGCAACGCCGCGUGCGGGAUGACGGCCUUCGGGUUGUAAACCGCUUUCGCCUGGGACGAAGCGUGAGUGACGGUAAUGGGUAAAGAAGCACCGGCUAACUACGU
rnacentral:rRNA from 1 species